AAGUCGUAACAAGGUUUCCGUAGGUGAACCUGCGGAAGGAUCAUUAGUGAACGCCCUCACGGGCUUAUAACUAUUCCAAACCUCUGUGAACCGUGCCCUUCGGGGCUAUUUUACAAACAUGGUGUAAUGAACGUCAUAUAUCAUAACAAAACAAGACUUUCAACAACGGAUCUCUUGACUCUCGCAUCGAUGAAGAACGCAGCGAAAUGCGAUAAGUAAUGUGAAUUGCAGAAUUCAGUGAAUCAUCGAAUCUUUGAACGCACCUUGCGCCCUCUGGUAUUCCGGAGGGCAUGCCUGUUUGAGUGUCAUGUAGACUCAAUCCCUCGGGUUUCCGAGGAGAUUGGACUUGGGUGUUGCCGCUCUGCCGGCUCGCCUUAAAAGACUUAGCGGGAUAGCACCGUAGUCGGCGUAAUAAGUUUCGUCGGUGAAGGUUGUGAUGACUGCUUACAAUCGCCCUCGGGCAAUUUUUGACUCUGACCUCAAAUCAGGUAGGACUACCCGCUGAACUUAA
rnacentral:rRNA from 1 species